rnacentral:misc_RNA from 1 species
UCGCCAUAGACUAUUAGACGUAGAUGACAGAUACUUGUGGUGUCGUAAGGCAUACCUUAAAACCCCGGAACACUUGUGCUUACUUUGUUCUUAGAGUAAGGGUACAACACCAAAAUAGGAUAACCUAACAAAGUCCUAGUUAAGAUGUCACCAGACAUAGAAAUGAGGCACACUUUAGGUGUUUGCAUCAAACCUAGGUAGAGAUUGGG